rnacentral:rRNA from 1 species
GACAGAGGGUGCAAACGUUGUUCGGAAUUACUGGGCGUAAAGCGAGUGUAGGCGGUUUCCUAAGUCAGGUGUGAAAGCCCCGGGCUCAACCCGGGAAGUGCACUUGAAACUGGGAGGCUAGAGUAUCGGAGAGGUUGGUGGAAUUCUCGGUGUAGAGGUGAAAUUCGUAGAUAUCGAGAGGAACACCGGUGGCGAAGGCGGCCAACUGGACGAAUACUGACGCUGAGACUCGAAAGCGUGGGGGAGCAAACAGG